AAGGUAGUGGAGUAUGGGAUAACUCACCGGGCUCAUGCCCCGUAGAACUUGGUUCGAGUCCAAGCUACCCCG
rnacentral:tRNA from 1 species